rnacentral:rRNA from 1 species
UACGGAGGGUGCAAGCGUUAUCCGGAUUCACUGGGUUUAAAGGGUGCGUAGGAGGGCAGGUAAGUCAGUGGUGAAAUCUCCAAGCUUAACUUGGAAACUGCCGUUGAUUACUAUCUGUCUUGAAUAUUGUGGAGGUGAGCGGAAUAUGUCAUGUAGCGGUGAAAUGACUAGAUAUCGUCAAGAACACCGAUAGCGAAGGCAGCUUACUGGGCUGUAACUGACGCUGAUGCACGAAAGUGUGGGGAGUCAAACAGGA